rnacentral:rRNA from 1 species
UACAGAGGGUGCGAACGUUGUUCGGAAUUACUGGGCGUAAAGCGCGUGUAGGCGGCAGCGUGUGUCGGGCGUGAAAUCCCACGGCUCAACCGUGGAAGUGCACUCGAAACUGCGCAGCUAGAGUCCUGGAGAGGAAGGUGGAAUGCUUGGUGUAGAGGUGAAAUUCGUAGAUAUCAAGCGGAACACCGGUGGCGAAGGCGGCCUUCUGGACAGUGACUGACGCUGAGACGCGAAAGCGUGGGGAGCAAACAGG